rnacentral:rRNA from 1 species
GAUCAGAUCGACCUCAGAUCAGACGAGACAACCCGCUGAAUUUAAGCAUAUUACUAAGCGGAGGAAAAGAAACUAACCAGGAUUCCCUCAGUAGCGGCGAGCGAAGAGGGAAGAGCCCAGCGCCGAAUCCCCGUCCGACGGGCGGACGUGGGAAAUGUGGCGUACGGAAGACCGCUUGCCCGGUGUCGCUCGGGGGCCUGAGUCCUUCUGAUCGAGGCUCAACCCGUGGACGGUGUGAGCCGGUAACGGCCCCCGUCGCGCCGGGGUCCGGUCUUCUCGGAGUCGGGUUGUUUGGGAAUGCAGCCCAAAGCGGGUGUAAACUCCAUCUAAGGCUAAAUACCGGCACGAGACCGAUAGUCGACAAGUACCUUAAGGGAA